rnacentral:lncRNA from 12 species
CCCCAUUCCAUCUUCUUUCUCGCCUAGAUUUCUAGCUGAUUCCUAAAGCAACAUGAGAAUGCAUGAUUAUAGGAACCAUUUACUAGAAUGAACUCUUACUCCUCCUUCCUGCUGACCUGACUGCAAAUCAGCUUUUGAUGGGGUUGGACAGUUUGGAGAGAUGGGCAGUGAUCACACUGAAAUAUGAUGACAGGGGCAAGACUGUAAGGACAUCCUCGAGACCGUAAGCUGCAAUAAGAGCCUCCCCUGCUCUGUCCUCAGCAUCCAGACCCCCCACCUAGCAUGAUGAUGGUGAGUGGCUGAAAGAAAGAAUGAUCUUCAUCACGGAAGGCUGGAAUGCAUGGAAUGGUGACAACCAUGCAUUCUGAUCAUUUAAAGAUACUGUCUUACUAAAUUCCCCCAAGUACGAGGUGAUCCCAACCUAUGUGUAAAUUUCAGUGAAUUAAAAGUAAUUUUCUUU